rnacentral:rRNA from 1 species
GCGGAAGGAUCAUUACCUAGA